AAACCAGAGAAUACAGGAGGGGUAAACAGUCCGCAUCGAAAAUCUUCCAUACAGGCUACGGCUAUGGAAUGCCCAAAGUCGAUACGGAUAAGCUCUGAAAUUCAAAUAUUCAACCAAUGCCCAUGGCCAGUCUCACAGUAUGCCAGCGAAGCAACUAUGCUUCGGAUUUGCUCCAUAUGAUAUGAGAGGUAAAGUUCUUAUUCUUCUAUCUCCUGUUUCUAUGUUUUCCUGUACAAUAUUACGGUAGUAUUCUAGCAAUCCAACUUUGGUCUCUGGUUCUCUCUUUCUAAUAUUUGCAAGAGAAAUCUUUUGAUGUUUUCAUGAUUGUGAUGGAGCUCUGUUCUUCAAGGAUUUGUGGUUCCAAUAUAAGCUGUGGUGUUCAAACCGAUAGGAAGCCAUCUAUUCUAAACGGUAAUGGUUUCUUUGGGAGAAAAACAAUGGGAAAUUUGAAGGUUUUACCAUGUGGGUUUCUUUUGAAUUUGAAGAAAAAGAGGAAAAAACAAGUGGGUUUUUGUGAGUUAGUGAUAGUGCAUUCAUAUGCGGUGAUGGGAAGGAAAGGGAGAGCCGAAGAUGGGUUGAGUUCUGAUGAGGUAAUUCAGAUUCUGAAGUCCACGUCUGAACCAAUUGAGGCUUUCUCGUUUUUCAAAUCAGUCGCCAAACGGCCCCUUGUUUUCCACAGCACUGAGUCCUGCAAUUACAUGCUUGAGCUCUUGAGAGUCCAUGGGAAGGUGGAAGAGAUGGCUGUUGUGUUUGAUUUGAUGCAGAAGCAAAUCAUUAAGAGGAAUUUGGAUACCUACUUGACUAUUUUCAAGAGUCUCUCUGUACGAGGAGGGAUUGGGCAGGCCCCAUUUGGGCUUGAACGGAUGAGCAAAGCUGGUUUUGUUUUGAAUGCCUUCUCGUACAAUGGUUUAAUCCAUUUGCUUCUUCAAUCUGGGUUUCUUAGGGAGGCUAUGAUGGUUUACAGAAGAGCAGUUUCUGAGGGGAUUAAACCUAGUUUGAAGACUUACUCUGCACUUAUGGUUGCAUCAGGGAAGAGGAAGGACACCAAAACUGUUAUGAAUUUAUUGGAAGAAAUGGAAAGUAUAGGUUUACGACCGAAUAUUUACACCUUCACAAUAUGCAUUAGGGUGCUUGGACGUGCAGGUAAAAUAGAUGAAGCUUGUGGGAUUCUCAAAAGAAUGGAGGAGGAGGGAUGUGGACCUGAUGUCAUUACUUAUACAGUUCUCAUUGAUGCCCUUUGCAAUGCUGGCAGACUUGAUAGUGCCAAGGAAUUGCUUUUAAGGAUGAAAUCUAGCAGUCAUAAACCAGAUCGGGUAACUUAUAUCACCUUGUUGGACAAGUUUAGUGAUUCUGGGGAUUUGGACUCGGUGAGAGAAUUUUGGAGGCAGAUGGAAGCUGAUGGUUAUGUUGCCGAUGUGGUUGCUUUCACAAUACUUGUGGGUGCUUUAUGCAAAGCAUAUAAGAUUGAUGAGGCAUUUGGCACAUUGGAUGUCAUGAGAAAGAAGGGUGUGAAGCCAAAUCUGUAUACUUUCAAUACACUGAUUUCUGGGCUGCUGAGAGUAAAUAGGUUGAAUGAAGCACUAGAACUGUUCAACUCUAUAGAAUCUCAAGGUCCUGAGCCCACUGCUUUUACAUACAUCCUAUUCAUUGACUAUUAUGGUAAGUUAGGGGAGUCUGGCAAAGCUGUGGAGACCUUUGAGAAGAUGAAGAAUAGGGGAAUUGUUCCCAAUGUGGUUGCUUGCAAUGCUUCUUUAUACAGCCUUGCAGAACAAGGUAACAUUGGCCAGGCAAAGAAUGUUUUCAAUGGACUUAAGAAUCAUGGCCUUACUCCGGAUGCUAUAACCUAUAAUAUGAUGAUGAAGUGCUACAGUAAGGCCGGGAAAGUCGAUGAAUCUGUAAAAUUACUCUCUGAGAUGAUGCGAAAUGGUUGUGUUCCUGAUGUGAUUACAUUCAAUUCCUUAAUUGACUCACUUUACAAGGCCCAUCAAGUGGAUGAGGCAUGGGAUUUGUUUCACAGGAUGAAUAAGAUGAAGCUUAUUCCCACAGUUGUGACCUACAAUACAUUGUUGGCUGGAUUAGGGAAAGAUGGUAGAUUGCAAAAGGCCAUAGAAUUAUUUGAGAGUAUGAGAACAUAUGGUGUUUCUCCAAACACAGUAACAUUUAAUACGCUUCUUGACUGCCUUUGCAAGAAUGGAGAGGUCAAUUGGGCCUUGGAAAUGCUUUCUAGAAUGACAAAAAUGGAAUGUUGGCCUGAUGUAUUAACAUACAACACCAUCAUUCAUGGUUUAGUUAAGGAAAACAGAGCUGAUGAUGCAUUUUGGAUCUUCCAUCAGAUGAGGAAACUGUUAUAUCCUGAUUUUGUGACUUUGUGCACUCUCCUUCCGGUGGUGAUAAAAAGUGGGCGGAUUGAGGAUGCUUUUAAGAUUGCUGAGAUUUUUUUCUAUCAGGCUGGAUGUGAAGCAGAGAUGAUUUCUUGGGAAAAUCUAAUGGAAGCAAUUUUAUGUGAAGCUGGAAUAGAACCGUCUAUCAUAUUUGCUGAAAGAUUGGUGUCUGCUGGGGUUUGCAAGGAUGAUUCCAUACUAAGCCCUCUACUUAAGUGUUUGUGCAGGCACAAUAAAGCUGCUGAUGCUAAUAAGUUAUUUGAUAAAUUCACGAAGAUGUAUGGAAUUACAGCAACACUUGAAGUUUAUAAUUAUUUAAUGGAAGGCCUCCUUGCAACCCAACUAACUGAAAUGGCUUGGACUCUAUUUGAAGAGAUGAAGGCGGCAGCUUGUGCUCCCGAUAUUUUCACCUACAAUUUGUUACUUGAUUCUCUGGGAAAGUCAGAGAGGAUUGAUGAACUUUACAAAUUGCGUGGAGAGAUGCUUUCUAGGGGAUGCCAACCAAACACCAUAACUCACAACAUUGUCAUAUCCAGCCUUGUCAAGUCUAACAUGUUAGAUGAGGCUAUAGACUUGUACUACGAUCUAAUGUGUGGAGACUUCUCUCCUAGUCCUUGCACAUAUGGCCCGCUUAUAGAUGGCCUUUCAAAGUCAGGAAGGGUGGAGGAAGCAAAGCAAUUUUCUGAGGAGAUGGUUGAAUAUGGAUGUAAACCUAACUGUGCCAUUUACAAUAUUCUUAUUAAUGGAUUUGGGAAGGUGGGUGACGUGGAAACUGCAUGUUUUCUGUUUGAAAGGAUGCGUAAAGAAGGAAUUAGACCAGAUGUAAAGACCUAUACAAUUCUUGUUGAUUGCCUUUGCAUGGUGGGGAAGGAUGCUGAUGCUUUGCACUAUUUUGAGGAACUGAAAUUAACUGGACUUGAUCCUGAUUUGGUUGCAUACAACCUGAUGAUUGAUGGGCUGGGGAAAUCACUGAGAGUAGAAGAAGCUCUCUCUCUUUUCCAUGAGAUGCAAAAUAGAGGAAUUAUCCCUGACCUUUAUACAUACAAUUCCUUAAUACUCAAUCUUGGGAAGGCUGGCAUGGUAAAGGAAGCAAGACAGAUCUAUGAAGAGCUUGAACUUAAGGGCCUUGAACCUAAUGUUUUUACAUAUAAUGCCCUCAUUCGAGGGUAUAGCAUGUCAGGAAAUCUUGAACAUGCAUAUGCAGUCUAUGAAAAGAUGAUGGUUGGGGGUUUCACUCCUAACGCAGUAACAAUUGCUCACCUCCCUAAUCAAUCUUGAGCUUUUUUCUAGGUGCUUCUGGUGGCUCUGGUCUGGUAGUUUGAGUACUACUAGUGAUGUUGUUAAAGUGACUAGUAAGCAGUCACUCCGAUAUAUUUUUCUAAGACCUAUCUACAUCACCUCUACCAAUUGAAUUAAUUGAUGUUGGCUAAAUUACCAAAGGGUAAUCAGUCUCAGUAGGACACGGUCUCAGGUUCGAUUCCCCAUCUGUGCAUCUGCGAUUUAAGUGGAGAUCAUGGCGGUGGGUUGCUAUGCUAGUCUCCUCGGGGAUUAGUCGAGGUGCGCAUAAGCUGGCCCGGACACCUUGGUUAACAAAAAAAAGAAAGAAAAAGAAACCACACUGCCUGACCUAUGUUAGAAUCAGUUACUUCGCUUAUUGCAAUCUCUCCACACUUUGGACAGAUUUGCUGUUGCAAUGAUUCAAGGAGAGAAAUCUGUCUCUGCGUUUUCUAAUAUACUCUCCAGAGGUGAUGAAGGCAGAUGGGAUCAAUUGUGACAUCUUAGAUGAUGUUUUAUGGUGACAAGUUGGCUAGAAGAUUUCUCUCUAGGGAUGAUAAUGAGAAGCAUAGGAUGAUCAGAAAAGUGGUAGAUGGGAGCUUCAAGUAGGGAUAUCAUCAUUCAAGGUGUCUGGGUUUGAUCAGCUUUAAAGUUUUGUUCACCGGGUGGUUGUACUACCCUUUGCCCGUUUGCAUUCUCUUCAGUAUGUGUUCCUCACAGCUAGGAAUUGCAGAAGAAAUUUCCUAUUUAUUCCUAACAAACUUUAUUGAGAUCCUGUCUGUGAGCACUUUGUAAAGUCUAUUAAUGUGUAGCAUCAAGUUUCAUAUUGUUGGCAAAUAUGUUUGUGUCAUAGGUUAUCGAUCCGGGAAUUUAGAAAGUCUCCCUUGUUUUAUCUGAAGUCUGGAUUUUUGGGUUGUUUUGACAGGGAAUUGAUAAAUAUUUGGGGCAUGGAUGUGAUAAGCUAAUUGAUUUGUUUGUAUUGAUGACUGAAGUAUUACUACAUUUCUACAGAUUUUUGACUGAUGUGGGGGAUAUUGAUAAAGAUUUCAAUUCCUUUCCCUUUCCUUUUGAUAAAUAAAGGUUACCUCAUUUUUAUUUAACAAA